UACGAGGGGGGCAAGUGUUGUUCGGAAUCACUGGGCGUAAAGGGAGCGUAGGCGGGCUCUUAAGUUGGAUGUUUAAAACCGGGGCCCAACCCCGGCGUGGCAUCCAAAACUGGGAGUCUUGAAUGGAACAGAGGCUAGUGGAAUUGGAGGUGUAGCGGUGGAAUGCGUAGAGAUCCGGAAGAACACCGGUGGCGAAGGCGGCCUGCUGGGCAGUUGCUGACGCUGAGGCGCGACAGCGUGGGGAGCAAACAGG
rnacentral:rRNA from 1 species